GCGAGGGGCGCGAGCCUCUCGCACAGGCUGACACCGGUACCUGACACGGCCGGUGCAG
ncrna:Streptomyces sp. CNR698 L17-Actino-Proteobacteria ribosomal protein leader